UGCCUAGAAUCUGCCUGGUAGUGGGGGACACGUUUCGAAAGGAACGCUAAUACCGCAUACGUCCUACGGGAGAAAGCAGGGACCUUCGGGCCUUGCGCUAUCAGAUGAGCCUAGGUCGGAUUAGCUAGUUGGUGAGGUAAUGGCUCACCAAGCGACGAUCCGUAACUGGUCUGAGAGGAUGAUCAGUCACACUGGAACUGAGACACGGUCCAGACUCCUACGGGAGGCAGCAGUGGGGAAUAUUGGACAAUGGGCGAAAGCCUGAUCCAGCCAUGCCGCGUGUGUGAAGAAGGUCUUCGGAUUGUAAAGCACUUUAAGUUGGGAGGAAGGGCAGUAAGUUAAUACCUUGCUGUUUUGACGUUACCGACAGAAUAAGCACCGGCUAACUCUGUGCCAGCAGCCGCGGUAAUACAGAGGGUGCAAGCGUUAAUCGGAAUUACUGGGCGUAAAGCGCGCGUAGGUGGUUCGUUAAGUUGGAUGUGAAAGCCCCGGGCUCAACCUGGGAACUGCAUCCAAAACUGGCGAGCUAGAGUACGGUAGAGGGUGGUGGAAUUUCCUGUGUAGCGGUGAAAUGCGUAGAUAUAGGAAGGAACACCAGUGGCGAAGGCGACCACCUGGACUGAUACUGACACUGAGGUGCGAAAGCGUGGGGAGCAAACAGGAUUAGAUACCUGGUAGUCCACGCCGUAAA
rnacentral:rRNA from 1 species